UACGUAGGGGGCGAGCGUUGUCCGGAUUUAUUGGGCGUAAAGAGCGUGUAGGCGGCCAGGAAGGUCGCUGUGAAAACUCGGGAGCUAACCCUCGAGAUGUCGGCGGAAACCAUCUGGCUAGAGUCCGGAAGAGGAGAGUGGAAUUCCUGGUGUAGCGGUGAAAUGCGCAGAUAUCAGGAAGAAUACCCGUGGCGAAGGCGGCUCUCUGGGACGGUACUGAC
rnacentral:rRNA from 1 species